CGGACAGCAGUACGCAUGCGCGAGCCAAGAAACGGCAGUACGCAUGCGCGAGUUUCGAGACGGUGGCAGCAGAUACCGUGGCAACAACAACUCCGCCGCCUUUUAGCGGACUGCCUGGGACCGUGGGCGCGCAUCCCCUUCUCUCUUUCUUUUCUUGGCAGAGGAUGGUGGGGGGAAGAAGGGGAGACGACAAAGAAAAGCAAGGAAAACUUCGACAAACCCUCCAACCCCGUGCUAAAUGCUUUGGUAUACCUGUAAAUAAAUGAAUACAUAACCAGCAAGUUGUUGUUGUCAUGCCUUUUUUUUUUUUUAAUAUGUGUAUGUGUAUACAUUUAUAUAUACACAUGUAUAUACAUAUUUCAGCCAGCAUCUGAGGUGAUGAAAAAACAUGGUAUGAAUUGCACGCAGUGAAGCCAAGGGUGCCUUGGAACAAUUAACA
rnacentral:lncRNA from 1 species